GGGGGCGAUUGGAUUCGACUGGAUUACCAUAAGUCGAGGUGGCAUGCCGUGGUUGAUCAGUUGGCCACGUAAAAAGCUGAUCAAACAACAACUGCUGAAAAGCAAUUCGCUUUGGCUGCCUAGAGAUAGGCUUCCCUGGUUGCGGAAUCCCUGCCUGAGGAGUCCAAAAACCAGCCAACAAAUCAGGCUGGCCUCGUGGCAAUGCCCACUACACGCGAGGCGAGAAAAGUUGUGAGCUGGUCCGGGGCGGGCCUUUUCGGCCGAGCCUUCCCCGGCGAACAUCAAUCGACCGAAUACGCAUGUAGAAGCUUCGGCAGCGGUGUCACAGGACGCGGGUUCGAUUCCCGCCGCCUCCAUUU
rnacentral:tmRNA from 1 species